AAAUUGAAGAGUUUGAUCAUGGCUCAGAUUGAACGCUGGCGGCAGGCCUAACACAUGCAAGUCGAGCGGUAGCACAGAGAGCUUGCUCUCGGGUGACGAGCGGCGGACGGGUGAGUAAUGUCUGGGAAACUGCCUGAUGGAGGGGGAUAACUACUGGAAACGGUAGCUAAUACCGCAUAACGUCGCAAGACCAAAGUGGGGGACCUUCGGGCCUCAUGCCAUCAGAUGUGCCCAGAUGGGAUUAGCUAGUAGGUGGGGUAACGGCUCACCUAGGCGACGAUCCCUAGCUGGUCUGAGAGGAUGACCAGCCACACUGGAACUGAGACACGGUCCAGACUCCUACGGGAGGCAGCAGUGGGGAAUAUUGCACAAUGGGCGCAAGCCUGAUGCAGCCAUGCCGCGUGUGUGAAGAAGGCCUUCGGGUUGUAAAGCACUUUCAGCGGGGAGGAAGGCGAUAAGGUUAAUAACCUCAUCGAUUGACGUUACCCGCAGAAGAAGCACCGGCUAACUCCGUGCCAGCAGCCGCGGUAAUACGGAGGGUGCAAGCGUUAAUCGGAAUUACUGGGCGUAAAGCGCACGCAGGCGGUCUGUCAAGUCGGAUGUGAAAUCCCCGGGCUCAACCUGGGAACUGCAUUCGAAACUGGCAGGCUAGAGUCUUGUAGAGGGGGGUAGAAUUCCAGGUGUAGCGGUGAAAUGCGUAGAGAUCUGGAGGAAUACCGGUGGCGAAGGCGGCCCCCUGGACAAAGACUGACGCUCAGGUGCGAAAGCGUGGGGAGCAAACAGGAUUAGAUACCCUGGUAGUCCACGCCGUAAACGAUGUCGAUUUGGAGGUUGUGCCCUUGAGGCGUGGCUUCCGGAGCUAACGCGUUAAAUCGACCGCACGGGGAGUACGGCCGCAAGGUUAAAACUCAAAUGAAUUGACGGGGGCCCGCACAAGCGGUGGAGCAUGUGGUUUAAUUCGAUGCAACGCGAAGAACCUUACCUGGUCUUGACAUCCACAGAACUUUCCAGAGAUGGAUUGGUGCCUUCGGGAACUGUGAGACAGGUGCUGCAUGGCUGUCGUCAGCUCGUGUUGUGAAAUGUUGGGUUAAGUCCCGCAACGAGCGCAACCCUUAUCCUUUGUUGCCAGCGGUUAGGCCGGGAACUCAAAGGAGACUGCCAGUGAUAAACUGGAGGAAGGUGGGGAUGACGUCAAGUCAUCAUGGCCCUUACGACCAGGGCUACACACGUGCUACAAUGGCAUAUACAAAGAGAAGCGACCUCGCGAGAGCAAGCGGACCUCAUAAAGUAUGUCGUAGUCCGGAUUGGAGUCUGCAACUCGACUCCAUGAAGUCGGAAUCGCUAGUAAUCGUAGAUCAGAAUGCUACGGUGAAUACGUUCCCGGGCCUUGUACACACCGCCCGUCACACCAUGGGAGUGGGUUGCAAAAGAAGUAGGUAGCUUAACCUUCGGGAGGGCGCUUACCACUUUGUGAUUCAUGACUGGGGUGAAGUCGUAACAAGGUAACCGUAGGGGAACCUGCGGUUGGAUCACCUCCUUACCUUAAAGAA
rnacentral:rRNA from 1 species